GCAGGUGUGCCGGAGCGGUCAAACGGGACAGACUCAAGAUCUGUUGGCUUUUGCCUACCUAGGUUCGAAUCCUAGCACCUGCA
rnacentral:tRNA from 1 species